CACCAAGUCCACCAUGUCACCUGUCGCCAAGGUCGCCUCCGCAAACUUCUCCUCACGGUUUUGAAGGCAGGAGAGAAAGACACCCAUUCUUCACAUUGGAGCACUUUUGAAAAAGCUCGCCUCCAUGGAAGAGGUACAAGAUUUAGCAGAACAGCCA